rnacentral:hammerhead_ribozyme from 1 species
AUCCAGUUGACGAGUCCCAAAUAGGACGAAACGCGCGUCCUGGGU